AGCCUAAUAGUAUAUUCGGUAAAGCAUGAGACUCAUAAUCUAAGGUUUGUGGGUUCGAGCCCCAAUUUGGGCAA